rnacentral:lncRNA from 1 species
CCACUGGUCUUCUUGUGCUUAUCCGGGCAAGAACUUAUCGAAAUACAAUAGAAGUUUUUACUUAGAAGAGAUUUUCAGAGAUGAGAAGCUGGUAACAGAGACCAAAAUAGUUUGGAGACUAAAGAAUCAUUGCACAUUUCACUGCUGAGUUGUAUUGAGAAGUGAAAUGACAACCUCACUAGAUACAGUUGAGACCUUUGGUACCACAUCCUACUAUGAUGACGUGGGCCUGCUCUGUGAAAAAGCUGAUACCAGAGCACUGAUGGCCCAGUUUGUGCCCCCGCUGUACUCCCUGGUGUUCACUGUGGGCCUCUUGGGCAAUGUGGUGGUGGUGAUGAUCCUCAUAAAAUACAGGAGGCUCCGAAUUAUGACCAACAUCUACCUGCUCAACCUGGCCAUUUCGGACC